rnacentral:rRNA from 1 species
UGAAUACGAGAUGCUACGGCGUCGAAGCAGUCUAUGUCAUACUUCCAAGAAAAGCUUGCACUGUCAUAAACAAAUAAUGCCUGUACCAUAACCGACACAGGUGGGUAGGUAGAGUAUACUAAGGGGCGCGAGAUAACUCUCUCUAAGGAACUCGGCAAAAUGACUCCGUAACUUCGGGAGAAGGAGUGCCUUAUUUAUAAGGUUGCAAUAACAAGAUCCAAGCAACUGUUUACCAAAAACACAGGUCUCCGCUAAGUCGUAAGACGAUGUAUGGGGGCUGACGCCUGCCCAGUGCCAGAAGGUUAAAGAAGUUGGUUAGCAUCCGCGAAGCUGAUAACUGAAGUCCUGGUGAACGGCGGCCGUAACAAUAACGAUCCUAAGGUAGCGAAAUUCCUUGUCGGGUAAGUUCCGACCCGCACGAAAGGCGUAAUGAUUUGGAUACUGUCUCGGAGAGGGGCUCGGUGAAAUAGACUUGUCUGUGAAGAUGCGGACUACCUGCACCAGGACAGAAAGACCCUAUGAAGCUUUACUGUAACCUGAAAUUGAAAUUGGACUUUACUUGCGCAGUAUAGGAGGGAGGCGUUGAGAAUAUUCUUGCGGGAUUAUUGGAGCCAUCAGUGAGAUACCACUCUUGUAAUGUUAGAUUUCUAACUUUGUAUCAUUAUCUGGUCAAAGAACAGUUUCAGGCUGGCAGUUUGACUGGGGCGGUCGCCUCCUAAACGGUAACGGAGGCGCACAAAGGUUUCCUCUGAACGGGUAGAAAUCGUAUCUAGAGUGUAAAGGCAUAAGGAAGCUUGACUGUGAGACCUACAAGUCGAGCAGGGACGAAAGUCGGUCUUAGUGAUCUGACGGUGCUGAGUGGAAAGGCCGUCACUCAACGGAUAAAAGUUACUCUAAGGAUAACAGGCUGAUCUCCCCCAAGAGUUCACAUCGACGGGGAGGUUUGGCACCUCGAUGUCGGCUCAUCGCAUCCUGGGGCGGUAGUACGUCCCAAGGGUUGGGCUGUUCGCCCAUGAAAGCGGUACGCGAGCUGGGUUCAGAACGUCGUGAGACAGUUCGGUCCAUAUCCGGUGUAGGCGUUAGAAUAUUGAGAGGAGCCUUCUUUAGUACGAGAGGACCGAGAAGGACAUACCUCUGGUGUACCAGUUAUCGUGCCAACGGUAAACGCUGGGUAGCUAUGUGUGGAGUGGAUAACCGCUGAAAGCAUCUAAGUGGGAAGCCCACCUCAAGAUAAGUAUUCUC